GACGUAGGAGGCGAGCGUUAUCCGGAUUCACUGGGCGUAAAGCGCAAGUAGGCGGUUGUGAAAGUCCGUUGUUAAAGCCCCUGGCUCAACUGGGGGAGGUCAAUGGAGACUUUAUGACUUGAGGGCAACAGAGGCAUGUGGAACUCCCGGUGUAGCGGUGAAAUGCGCAGAUAUCAGGAGGAACACCAAUGGCGAAGGCAGCUCGCUGGGACGUGACUGACGCUGAGACGCGAAAGCGUGGGGAGCAAACAGG
rnacentral:rRNA from 1 species